UGUGAUUCCCUUCACAUAUAUAGAUAUUGGAAGAUCUUGAAUGAAAGAACCAAAACACUCUUAAAAAGGUAGCCUUCAAUAUUGACUUUGAGGGUUUCUUCGACUGAUUGGAAUAGAGUCCAACGGGACAAACUCCUUUCUUUAUUAUUGUGUUUCUCUGGUUCUCAACCAGUUAAGGAUAAAGUUAAAUCGGUUGAGAUGUUGCCCUAUUUCUCCUUUGCUUCCAAGUUCAAUCGGUUGAGGAUCAAUCUUCGACUGUUUGGGAAUUUAUGUUUGCAUUCAACCGGUAGAAAUGUUCAAUCGGACAAGACACUCCAUCUGAUGCUUAUGCUCUUCUUCUACUGGCUGAAGAUAGAUCCUCGACCGGUUGAACAUUCUGAACUUUUACUUCUGUGUUCUUCCUACCGUAGUACCUAAAUGUUUAACUGGUAGACUUGAAGAAACCCUAAACUUAGUGCAACCAACUACCAAUCACUACUGGUUCGAUUCAUCGCCUCUUUCGACCUCCGUCAUGCUCCAUUGUACCUACAAAACAGUUAACCCCACUUGCACCAAAUAAUGAUUAAGUAGAAUAAAUAAUAUGCGUAAAUAUACUAAAGUGCAGGGGAACUAUACCGAUGAAUAGCUAUAAAAUGAAUGAAUUACUUUCACGUGAAAAGGUUAUAAAUAUAGACCACUCAUUCAGAAUUCAUAUAGCCUCACUUAAUAUAAAUAAUAAACUCACGCCCUUCUUCGCCUCUAGAUUUCAAAUUUCAUCCCAAAUAAAACAAGGAAAUAGUUCUAGAGUAGGGAGUAGGGGUAGGGGUAGGGGCAGAGGUCGGAGUCGGAGUGAUAACCACAUAAGAGCUAUAGGACCACAAUAGCGUAGGAAUCGCCUCGUUUUAUAGAAAAGGAUAUUGUUGUCUCAUACUAUGACAACAACCACUAUCAAUUGCUACCUGAACUACAUCCUAGCUUACUACCGGAACGGCUAUGACAACAACCACUAUCAAUUGCUACCUGAACUACAUCCUAGCUUACUACCGGAACGGCUAUGACAACAACCACUAUCAAUUGCUACCUGAACUAUAGCCUAGCUUACUACCGGAACGGAAGACUAUAUUUUGUAUGUCCCGAAUGACAGUACCAUCUCUACAACAAAAUCUCUAGUGAAAAUUAAAGUAUGAUAAUUAAUGUUGCUUGGAAUCUCAGGAAUGGUGAUGGACCGCCGUUACAACCGUUUGGCAGAGGAGAUGAUUUUGGGGGAUUUAGGAUGAGGGAGGAUUUGAAGAAGGAUUAAAAUGAGGGAGGAGGAUUAUAAUAAGGGGGGGCCACCUUUUGAGAAGGGUGGAUCUAUAAUUGGUAUUUGAAUGUGUUUUGAGAAGGGGAUUUUUAGAAGUUGGAAUAUGAUGGGAUAAGAAUGUAAAAAGAACAAAAUUACCCUCACUUCAUUAAGGAGUUUAUAAUAUUAAAUAUAAUUUCGUUAAUUUAGAUAAAAUUUAGAUUAAUUAAAUAAUUUAGAUGAUAUUAAUAAAACAAUUUACGUUAAAUAUAAUAUAUAAUUUAAAAUAUAUAAUUAAUUUUUUUGGGUUUUGGGUAAAAUUAUCCAAAUUAAUUAUUAGUAAUAUAUUAGGAAAAAAAUAGAUUAUUUUUAAAUUUUUUGACGCCUAGAAAGAUUCUAGCAAUCCAAUUUUAAAAAUAUUAAUUGAAAUUUUUAUAUUAAAUUUAUGUAUGAAUAUUACAAAAAAAUUGACCAAAACACAAGGUAAAAAAAAAAUAGUAAAAGAUGAAACAAGUCUGUCAUUUAAGAAACAAUAAGCACAAAAAAAAUCGAGUGAAUUUACUUUAACUUUUGAUCUCAAAGAUUUUUUAUUUUUAAACUUUGUCUUAAAGGGAUAAUUAAAAAAUAUAAAAAAAAUAAAUAUAAAAAGUAUUUACGAAAAAGUACUAAACACACCAAAUAUGUAAAACCUAUACCCAAACAGCCUGUAGUUUAGAAAAAUAUUUAACUUGAUUCUUAUAGUUUUAUAAAAUUUAUAAACCAAAGAAAUGUAUAAAAUAGUUUAAAUUUCUAUCAAAAAAUUCAGUCUAUGCACAAAAAAAAAUUAAAAAUGAAACCUAUGCUGAUAGAGAACCUUUACCCAAUUCACCCCGCAAUUCACAAAAUUUGUUCACAAAAAAAUUUGUACCCGCUUUUGCGAAACACAAUAAAAAUAAAUUUAAAUAUAAAUAUAAUUUAAAAAUAUUUUUUGGGGUUAAAAUUGAGAGAAUCUAUUACAACUUUUUAAACUCAGGGGAGGUAAUUAUUAAUUUCUUAAACGUAAAGAUUUCUUUUAUAUUAGAUCCAUUAACUUCAGCGAGAGUCAGUGUAAUUUACCCAAAUAAAAUUAUUCAUGUCCUGGUUCAUGUUCCCCAAUUGAUGUUAAGCCUAGAAGAGAGACACGUCUAGGGAUGGCAACGGGGCGGGUUGGGACGGGUUUCGGCCCUCCCCCACCACCACCCCGUUUAAUAAACGGGUUGG
rnacentral:lncRNA from 1 species